rnacentral:pre_miRNA from 1 species
AGGUUGGGACGGGCAGCAGUAUUUACAGUUGGAUUGAUAUUGCACUUGUCCCGGCCUAC